rnacentral:rRNA from 1 species
UACGUAGGGCGCAAGCGUUGUCCGGAAUUAUUGGGCGUAAAGAGCUCGUAGGUGGCUUGUCACGUCGGGUGUGAAAGCUUGGGGCUUAACUCCAGGUCUGCAUUCGAUACGGGCUGGCUAGAGGUAGGUAGGGGAGAACGGAAUUCCUGGUGUAGCGGUGAAAUGCGUAGAGAUGGGGAAGAACACCGGUGGCGAAGGCGCCACUCUGGGCCGGUACUGACGCUGAGGAGCGAAAGCGUGGGUAGCAAACAGG